UCCGGCUUAUCACCGGCGGUUUCUUUAGAGUGCCCAACUAAAUGAUGGCAACUAAAGACGAGGGUUGCGCUCGUUGCGGGACUUAACCCAACAUCUCACGACACGAGCUGACGACAGCCAUGCAGCACCUGUGCACGAGUCCCGAAGGAGGCCCCUCGUUUCUGAGAGGUUUCUCGUGUAUGUCAAGCCUAGGUAAGGUUCUUCGCGUUGCGUCGAAUUAAACCACAUGCUCCACUGCUUGUGCGGGCCCCCGUCAAUUCCUUUGAGUUUCAGCCUUGCGGCCGUACUCCCCAGGCGGGGCACUUAAUGCGUUAGCGCCGGCACUCAGAGGGUCGCUCCCCCAAGCACCUAGUGCCCAUCGUUUACGGCGUGGACUAC
rnacentral:misc_RNA from 1 species